rnacentral:tRNA from 1 species
GUAGAGACUUUCCUCAUUGGAACGACCCCCAGACAGAUCAAAGACUUGACAGAAAUUCCUAAUCUGGGGGUCGUAGGUUCGAAUCCUACUGGGAUCACCA